GACGAACGCUGGCGGCGUGCUUAACACAUGCAAGUCGAACGAUGACGCCCGAGCUUGCUCGGUCUGAUUAGUGGCGAACGGGUGAGUAACACGUGAGCAACCUGCCCUUCACUCUGGGAUAACCUCGGGAAAUCGGGGCUAAUACCGGAUAUGAGCUCCUGUCGCAUGGCGGGUGUUGGAAAGUUUUUCGGUGAAGGAUGGGCUCGCGGCCUAUCAGUUUGUUGGUGAGGUAGUGGCUCACCAAGGCGAUGACGGGUAGCCGGCCUGAGAGGGCGACCGGCCACACUGGGACUGAGAGACGGCCCAGACUCCUACGGGAGGCAGCAGUGGGGAAUAUUGCACAAUGGGCGAAAGCCUGAUGCAGCGACGCCGCGUGAGGGAUGACGGCCUUCGGGUUGUAAACCUCUUUCAGCAGGGAAGAAGCGAAAGUGACGGUACCUGCAAAAGAAGCGCCGGCUAACUACGUG
rnacentral:rRNA from 1 species